rnacentral:rRNA from 1 species
UACGGAGGGGACUAGCGUUGUUCGGAAUUACUGGGCGUAAAGCGCACGUAGGCGGAUUUGUAAGUCAGGGGUGAAAUCCCGAGGCUCAACCUCGGAACUGCCUUUGAUACUGCAAAUCUCGAGUCCGGAAGAGGUGAGUGGAAUUCCUAGUGUAGAGGUGAAAUUCGUAGAUAUUAGGAAGAACACCAGUGGCGAAGGCGGCUCACUAGUCCGGUACUGACGCUGAGGUGCGAAAGCGUGGGGAGCAAACGGG